rnacentral:piRNA from 1 species
UACCCUACGGGCUGAAAGCAGCUUCGGAAC